rnacentral:rRNA from 1 species
AACGAACGCUGGCGGCAUGCCUAACACAUGCAAGUCGAACGAGACCUUCGGGUCUAGUGGCGCACGGGUGCGUAACGCGUGGGAACCUGCCCUUAGGUUCGGAAUAACUCCCCGAAAGGGGUGCUAAUACCGGAUAAUGUCUUCGGACCAAAGAUUUAUCGCCUUUGGAUGGGCCCGCGUUGGAUUAGCUAGUUGGUAGGGUAAAAGCCUACCAAGGCGACGAUCCAUAGCUGGUCUGAUAGGAUGAUCAGCCACACUGGGACUGAGACACGGCCCAGACUCCUACGGGAGGCAGCAGUGGGGAAUAUUGGACAAUGGGCGAAAGCCUGAUCCAGCAAUGCCGCGUGAGUGAUGAAGGCCUUAGGGUUGUAAAGCUCUUUUACCCGGGAUGAUAAUGACAGUAACGGGAGAAUAAGCUCCGGCUAACUCCGUG